AAGGUGAGAAUCGGGACAGUCGCAGGCUGGGAGACGCUCUGCUUUUCCUGCGUCCUGCUGGGAGCUGCGCGCUCCAGGUAUCCUGGCCUGCCGCCCUAGCCCGCCCAAGGAGCCACACAGGACAGUUGACCCAACACUUCUGCCACCUGAAGAACGACACCUGCAUUCCUCCAUCUCUGGGACCACCAAGGAACUCAAGAAGCUCAGAAUCUCUCAGAUCAAAAAGAUACUGAGUCAUCGGAUAGCCAUGCCAUCCUGAAAACGGCCUUCUUUGUGUGUACAUUAUUUGCAACAAGCAACAAGUUUAUAAGCACUUUGAUAAAAUUGCAUGUGAGGGUUAAAAUAUUAAAGUCAGCACGUCAACUUGAAA
rnacentral:sRNA from 1 species